rnacentral:rRNA from 1 species
UACGUAGGGGUGCGAGCGUUGUCCGGAAUUAUUGGGCGUAAAGAGCUCGUAGGCGGUUUUGUUGCGUCGGCCGUGAAAAACCUGCAGCUUAACUGUGGGCCUGCGGCCGAUACGGGCAGACUUGAGUUCGGUAGGGGAGACUGGAAUUCCUGGUGUAGCGGUGAAAUGCGCAGAUAUCAGGAGGAACACCGGUGGCGAAGGCGGGUCUCUGGGCCGAUACUGACGCUGAGGGAAGCGAAGGCGUGGGAGCAACAUG